rnacentral:rRNA from 1 species
UACGUAGGGGGCUAGCGUUGUCCGGAAUCACUGGGCGUAAAGCGCACGUAGGCGGACGUGUCAGUCAGGGGUGAAAUCCCGGAGCUCAACUUCGGAACUGCCUUUGAUACAGCACGUCUUGAGUCCGGAAGAGGUGGGUGGAAUUCCUAGUGUAGAGGUGAAAUUCGUAGAUAUUCGCAAGAACACCAGUGGCGAAGGCGGCUCACUGGCCCGAUACUGACGCUGAGGUGCGAAAGCGUGGGGAGCAAACAGG